rnacentral:snoRNA from 1 species
UUUGUGCCGCUUCACUUGGUUCAUGCCCAUGAGCUGUUUUUGGCUCACGAGCUUUGGAAAGGUGAAGCAAAAGUCUCAGUGGUUCCUCUCGCUAUCCAGGGCAGAAUUUUUUGUUUGAUGCUGCUGGACGUCGAGGAACUAUAUUC